rnacentral:rRNA from 1 species
GGGUUGUGAGGUUAAGCGACUAAGCGUACACGGUGGAUGCCCUGGCAGUCAGAGGCGAUGAAGGACGUGCUAAUCUGCGAUAAGCGUCGGUAAGGUGAUAUGAACCGUUAUAACCGGCGAUUUCCGAAUGGGGAAACCCAGUGUGUUUCGACACACUAUCAUUAACUGAAUCCAUAGGUUAAUGAGGCGAACCGGGGGAACUGAAACAUCUAAGUACCCCGAGGAAAAGAAAUCAACCGAGAUUCCCCCAGUAGCGGCGAGCGAACGGGGAGCAGCCCAGAGCCUGAAUCAGUGUGUGUGUUAGUGGAAGCGUCUGGAAAGGCGCGCGAUACAGGGUGACAGCCCCGUACACAAAAAUGCACAUGCUGUGAGCUCGAUGAGUAGGGCGGGACACGUGGUAUCCUGUCUGAAUAUGGGGGGACCAUCCUCCAAGGCUAAAUACUCCUGACUGACCGAUAGUGAACCAGUACCGUGAGGGAAAGGCGAAAAGAACCCCGGCGAGGGGAGUGAAAAAGAACCUGAAACCGUGUACGUACAAGCAGUGGGAGCACGCUUAGGCGUGUGACUGCGUACCUUUUGUAUAAUGGGUCAGCGACUUAUAUUCUGUAGCAAGGUUAACCGAAUAGGGGAGCCGAAGGGAAACCGAGUCUUAACUGGGCGUUAAGUUGCAGGGUAUAGACCCGAAACCCGGUGAUCUAGCCAUGGGCAGGUUGAAGGUUGGGUAACACUAACUGGAGGACCGAACCGACUAAUGUUGAAAAAUUAGCGGAUGACUUGUGGCUGGGGGUGAAAGGCCAAUCAAACCGGGAGAUAGCUGGUUCUCCCCGAAAGCUAUUUAGGUAGCGCCUCGUGAAUUCAUCUCCGGGGGUAGAGCACUGUUUCGGCAAGGGGGUCAUCCCGACUUACCAACCCGAUGCAAACUGCGAAUACCGGAGAAUGUUAUCACGGGAGACACACGGCGGGUGCUAACGUCCGUCGUGAAGAGGGAAACAACCCAGACCGCCAGCUAAGGUCCCAAAGUCAUGGUUAAGUGGGAAACGAUGUGGGAAGGCCCAGACAGCCAGGAUGUUGGCUUAGAAGCAGCCAUCAUUUAAAGAAAGCGUAAUAGCUCACUGGUCGAGUCGGCCUGCGCGGAAGAUGUAACGGGGCUAAACCAUGCACCGAAGCUGCGGCAGCGACACUAUGUGUUGUUGGGUAGGGGAGCGUUCUGUAAGCCUGUGAAGGUGUGCUGUGAGGCAUGCUGGAGGUAUCAGAAGUGCGAAUGCUGACAUAAGUAACGAUAAAGCGGGUGAAAAGCCCGCUCGCCGGAAGACCAAGGGUUCCUGUCCAACGUUAAUCGGGGCAGGGUGAGUCGACCCCUAAGGCGAGGCCGAAAGGCGUAGUCGAUGGGAAACAGGUUAAUAUUCCUGUACUUGGUGUUACUGCGAAGGGGGGACGGAGAAGGCUAUGUUGGCCGGGCGACGGUUGUCCCGGUUUAAGCGUGUAGGCUGGUUUUCCAGGCAAAUCCGGAAAAUCAAGGCUGAGGCGUGAUGACGAGGCACUACGGUGCUGAAGCAACAAAUGCCCUGCUUCCAGGAAAAGCCUCUAAGCAUCAGGUAACAUCAAAUCGUACCCCAAACCGACACAGGUGGUCAGGUAGAGAAUACCAAGGCGCUUGAGAGAACUCGGGUGAAGGAACUAGGCAAAAUGGUGCCGUAACUUCGGGAGAAGGCACGCUGAUAUGUAGGUGAGGUCCCUCGCGGAUGGAGCUGAAAUCAGUCGAAGAUACCAGCUGGCUGCAACUGUUUAUUAAAAACACAGCACUGUGCAAACACGAAAGUGGACGUAUACGGUGUGACGCCUGCCCGGUGCCGGAAGGUUAAUUGAUGGGGUCAGCGCAAGCGAAGCUCUUGAUCGAAGCCCCGGUAAACGGCGGCCGUAACUAUAACGGUCCUAAGGUAGCGAAAUUCCUUGUCGGGUAAGUUCCGACCUGCACGAAUGGCGUAAUGAUGGCCAGGCUGUCUCCACCCGAGACUCAGUGAAAUUGAACUCGCUGUGAAGAUGCAGUGUACCCGCGGCAAGACGGAAAGACCCCGUGAACCUUUACUAUAGCUUGACACUGAACAUUGAGCCUUGAUGUGUAGGAUAGGUGGGAGGCUUAGAAGUGUGGACGCCAGUCUGCAUGGAGCCGACCUUGAAAUACCACCCUUUAAUGUUUGAUGUUCUAACGUUGACCCGUAAUCCGGGUUGCGGACAGUGUCUGGUGGGUAGUUUGACUGGGGCGGUCUCCUCCUAAAGAGUAACGGAGGAGCACGAAGGUUGGCUAAUCCUGGUCGGACAUCAGGAGGUUAGUGCAAUGGCAUAAGCCAGCUUGACUGCGAGCGUGACGGCGCGAGCAGGUGCGAAAGCAGGUCAUAGUGAUCCGGUGGUUCUGAAUGGAAGGGCCAUCGCUCAACGGAUAAAAGGUACUCCGGGGAUAACAGGCUGAUACCGCCCAAGAGUUCAUAUCGACGGCGGUGUUUGGCACCUCGAUGUCGGCUCAUCACAUCCUGGGGCUGAAGUAGGUCCCAAGGGUAUGGCUGUUCGCCAUUUAAAGUGGUACGCGAGCUGGGUUUAGAACGUCGUGAGACAGUUCGGUCCCUAUCUGCCGUGGGCGCUGGAGAACUGAGGGGGGCUGCUCCUAGUACGAGAGGACCGGAGUGGACGCAUCACUGGUGUUCGGGUUGUCAUGCCAAUGGCACUGCCCGGUAGCUAAAUGCGGAAGAGAUAAGUGCUGAAAGCAUCUAAGCACGAAACUUGCCCCGAGAUGAGUUCUCCCUGACCCUUUAAGGGUCCUGAAGGAACGUUGAAGACGACGACGUUGAUAGGCCGGGUGUGUAAGCGCAGCGAUGCGUUGAGCUAACCGGUACUAAUGAACCGUGAGGCUUAACCUUACAACGCCGAAGCUGUU